CAAUAGCGUAUAUUAAAGUUGUUGCGGUUAAAAAGCUCGUAGUUGGAGUUCUGCCAGGUGCCGUCUGUCCGCCCCAGUGGUGAGUACGUGACGCGCAUUUGGCCCUUUCAAGGGGAGCGUAUCUGCACUUUACUGUGUGGUGCGGGAUCCUUGACUUUUACUUUGAGGAAAUAGGAGUGUUCCAAGCAGGCUCUCGUCGUGCACAGCUCAGCAUGGAAUAAUAGCAUUGGACCUCGAUUCUAAGCUGUUGGUUGCCAGAAGCGAGGUAAUGAUGAAGAGGGAUAGUUGGGGGCAUUCGUAUUUAACUGUCAGAGGUGAAAUUCUUGGAUUUGUUAGAGACGGACUACUGCGAAAGCAUCUGCCAUGGAUGUUUUCAUUGA
rnacentral:rRNA from 1 species